UUUCCUGUGACUAGCUCCCGAUGCUACACGCGGGAAACAGGCGAAGCUGCUGAACACUGUCACAAGCAUCAGUCAUCGCCUGCAGCCAAAAUGGGAGACACACUGGAGUUCAAUGAGAUCUACCAGGAGGUCAAAGGCUCCUGGAAUGACGGACGGCUGCGUUUCAGCAAGCAAAAUGUGGUUUAUAAGAGCAGCAAGACGGGGAAGGUGGAUAACAUCCCUGCCAGCGAGCUCAACCUGGCCCAGUGGAGACGGGUGUGCUUAGGUCACGGCAUCAAACUUGGCACCAGCGCAGGACACGUCUACAAAUACGAUGGCUUCAGGGACACAGACUUUGAGAAGAUUUCAGAGUUUUUCAAGGCUAACUACAAGGUGGAAUUGACAGAGAAAGACAUGUGUGUGAAGGGCUGGAACUGGGGAACAGCCAAGUUUUCAGGGCCACUGUUAUCGUUCGAAGUCAAUGACAACACAGCGUUUGAGAUCCCACUGUCCAACGUUUCUCAGUGUGCCACAGGGAAGAACGAAGUCACUUUGGAGUUUCACCAGAAUGACGACACAGAAGUCUCCCUCAUGGAGGUCCGAUUCUACGUCCCACCCAGCCAGUCUGAUGAACGACAAGACCCCGUGGAGGCAUUUGCUCAGAAUGUGUUAUCUAAGGCUGAUGUGAUCCAGGCUACAGGAGAUGCUGUUUGUAUCUUCAAGGAGCUGCAGUGUCUUACACCCAGAGGAAGAUAUGACAUCCGUAUCUACCCGACAUUUCUUCACCUGCACGGUAAAACAUUCGACUACAAGAUUCCCUACACCACCGUCCUCCGUCUUUUCCUGCUGCCACACAAGGAUCAGAGGCAGAUGUUCUUUGUGAUCAGUCUGGAUCCUCCUAUCAAGCAGGGUCAGACACGUUAUCACUUUCUCAUUCUGCUCUUCUCCAAGGAAGAAGAUAUCAACCUCACCCUCAACAUGAGCGAAGAAGAUGUGGAGCGUCGUUUUGAGGGCAAACUCAGUAAGUUCAUGUCAGGAUCUCUUUAUGAGAUGGUCAGCAGAGUGAUGAAGGCCCUGGUCAACCGUAAAAUCACAGUACCCGGAAACUUCCAAGGGCACUCAGGAGCUCAGUGCAUCACUUGCUCUUACAAGGCAUCCUCAGGCCUCCUCUAUCCUCUGGAAAGGGGUUUCAUCUACGUCCACAAGCCCCCUGUUCACUUGCGCUUUGAAGAGAUCUCUUGUGUCAACUUUGCUAGAGGCACCACCACAACACGUUCCUUUGACUUUGAGAUUGAGACCAAACAGGGAAACCAGUACACUUUUAGCAGCAUUGAGAGAGAGGAGUACGGCAAACUUUUUGACUUUGUUAAUGCCAAGAAGCUCAACAUCAAGAACAGAGGCUUCAAAGAGAAGAAGGGCAUGAAGGGCAAAAUUGACGAGUACAGCGACUCUGACGAUGACCAACACGACGCCUACUUGGAGAGAAUGAAGGCUGAGGGCAAGAUCAGGGAGGAGGGCAAUGACAGCGAUGAAUCAGAUGGUGAAAGUGAUGAGUCUUUCAACCCCGGAGAGGAAGACGAAGAGAUUGCAGAAGAGUAUGACAGCAAUGCCUCAGCGAGCGACAGCAGUGAAGGAGGAGAUGAGAGCGAAGACGAGAGCGCAAAGAAGAAAAAGGCCAAAAAACCCAAAGUGGUGAAGGAGAAAAAAGAAAGAAAGCCACGCAAAGAGAAGAAGCAGAAGGAUGCUGGUGGACCCAAGAGGCCGAUGAGUGCCUACAUGCUUUGGCUCAACUCCAGCCGCGAGCGAAUCAAGUCGGAGAACCCCGGCAUCUCCAUCACAGAGAUCUCUAAGAAGGCUGGAGAGAUGUGGAGACAGCUGAGCAAAGACGAGAAGCAGGAGUGGGAAUCAAAGGCCGGCGAGGCGAAAAAACAAUAUGAUAAAGCAAAGAGAGAGUACAAAGAGAGCGGUGGAGGAACUUCCAGUCCCAAGAAGGAGAGUAAAAAAUCUGCAGGCAAAAAGGAUGAGAAGAAAAGGAAGUCUGCCGGAGGAGAUAAGGAUAGGGAGCGGGGAGGCAACGACAGCUUCAAGAGCCGCGAGUUCAUCGAGACCAGCGAGGAGAGUUCGUCAGACUCUGACCACAAGAGCAAGUCCAAGAGGAAGAAGUGAAAACUAGACACUUUCUUUAGGAGGAGAAGCCUUUAAAAUCCUGUUAGCUGAUUGAGGGACAGCUGCAGGAAAAAGCAUUCAAGGGAAAUCCUGUAACUGAAACAGGCCACAUACUACAGAGAUGGCAGCAGGAAUCAGAUGAAGAUGAGGAAGAAGAGGCAGUCUCCACACCUGCAAGCUCAGAGGAGGAGUCUGACUGAACACACACACACACACACACACUUUUCCACUUCGCACAUACAUACCAAGGACCAAGCGUUUAUACUCUCUCUGUUGAUACCACACUGACAGACAAAUUAACAGACUUGAGUUGUAUUUGUUUCUUCUUUGUGGUUCGUUUUAUGAGUACACACACAUCUUGUGACUGACUCUGAAAACCCAUGUAAUGAUAUUUGAAUAGUUUGAUGAAGAACCCGUGUACCUUUGGAAAUACUGAAGGGUUUUCCAUCAAACCAGUGGGUAUAUUUGUUUUAGUUACAUAGCACCAAGGAUUGCAGGAGGUAUUAGUUAUCAGAUGCAAAGCUGUGACUGGAGAUUUUGUUGUGUGGCUUUUUCAAUGUCAUGUUUUCAUGCCAAAACAAAUAAAUGAAUCAUUUUCAAUAAA